rnacentral:tRNA from 1 species
UACUAAUAGACAGAAUCGAACUGUCGUCUUUUGGGUAUGAGCCAAACGUGUUAACCGUUACACUAUAUUAGC